rnacentral:rRNA from 1 species
GAUGAACGCUGGCGGCGUGCCUAAUACAUGCCAGUCGAGCGAACGGACGAGAAGCUUGCUUCUCUGAUGUUAGCGGCGGACGGGUGAGUAACACGUGGAUAACCUACCUAUAAGACUGGGAUAACUUCGGGAAACCGGAGCUAAUACCGGAUAAUAUUUUGAACCGCAUGGUUCAAAAGUGAAAGACGGUCUUGCUGUCACUUAUAGAUGGAUCCGCGCUGCAUUAGCUAGUUGGUAAGGUAACGGCUUACCAAGGCAACGAUGCAUAGACGACCUGGGAGGGUGAUAGCCCACACUGGAACUGAGACAGGGUCAAGACUACUACGGGAGGCAGCAGUAGGGAAUCUUCCGCAAUGGGCGAAAGCCUGACGGAGCAACGCCGCGUGAGUGAUGAAGGUCUUCGGAUCGUAAAACUCUGUUAUUAGGGAAGAACAUAUGUGUAAGUAACUGUGCACAUCUUGACGGUACCUAAUCAGAAAGCCACGGCUAACUACGUG